rnacentral:rRNA from 1 species
UUGCUCUUCAACGAGGAAUCCCUAGUAAGCGCAAGUCAUCAGCUUGCGUUGAUUACGUCCCUGCCCUUUGUACACACCGCCCGUCGCUACUACCGAUUGAAUGGCUCAGUGAGGCUUUCGGACUGGCCCGGAAUGGGGGGCAACCCCCGUCCUGGGCCGGAAAGUUAUCCGAACUCGGUCAUUUAGAGGAAGUAAAAGUCGUAACAAGGUCUCCGUUGGUGAACCAGCGGAGGGAUCAUUACAGAGUACUAUACUCAUAACCCUUUGUGAACCUUUAUAACUUGUUGCUUCGGCGGCGCGAGCCCCUCGGGGAGCGUGCCCGCCGGUGUCAUCAGAAUCUCUGUUCGAACCCGACGAUACUUCUGAGUGUUCUAAGCGAACUGUUAAAACUUUCAACAACGGAUCUCUUGGCUCCAGCAUCGAUGAAGAACGCAGCGAAACGCGAUAUGUAAUGUGAAUUGCAGAAUUCAGUGAAUCAUCGAAUCUUUGAACGCACAUGGCGCCUUCCAGUAUCCUGGGAGGCAUGCCUGUCCGAGCGUCGUUUCAACCCUCGAGCCCUCGUGGCCCGGCGUUGGGGAUCUGCCCAGGCAGGCCCCGAAAACCAGUGGCGGACCCGUCCGGGCCCUCUCCUUGCGUAGUAGCAUCAGCCUCGCAUCGGGAGCCGGCGGCUUUCGGCCUCUAAACCCCCCACAAGUCCGCUCCGGCGGCAUCAAGGUUGACCUCGGAUCAGGUAGGAAUACCCGCUGAACUUAAGCAUAUCAAUAAGCGGAGGA